AAGAACAUGAUUAGGGGAAGAUUUAAUAAGAUCCUAAAAUCUCCAAUAAUGUUGGGAAAACUUUCCCCAGUCUUCUGAGUAAAACCUGCUAUGUCUUUUCUGGCCU